rnacentral:lncRNA from 1 species
AGAAUUCCACCAAAGACCUAAACUCUGGCAUUGGCGGAAGUUCGUCUUUAUCAUAAGGGAAAUAAGCAGAGAAAACAAGAAGUUCCCUACUAGCAUCCCCCUCCUCAAGCUUCACCUGAACAGAAGUAAGAUCCCUAGAACAGAAAUCCCAAAAGGUGAAACUCGAAUGUUAUUCCUAAUAAAAACACAAGUCUGAGGACCACUAUCAGAAGUGCAAGAAGAAAAAGAAAACAACUUAUCCUCUCUACAGUGAAGCCCCCGUAUUCGGCCCUUAUAAAGCCAUGGCUCUUGAAUAAGAGCAAAGUCAUAACAGCCCUCCAAAAGUCACUGACCCAAAAGGGCAAAACCAGCUUGGGAGUGCUGAAGAUUGAUUUGGAAUACCCUCAGACCCAUGACACUACAGAUCCUAAGGUGGGCAAACUUCCAUCUCCACCUCAGAAAUCUGGAACCAGAAGGUCCAGGAGCACUUCUGGAAACUCAAUCCUUGUCAGUGAGUCUGACCAGUUCAUACCCCUUUGCAGGGGCAAUCACUGAAGCUAUCAAUCAUCCAGACUUGGAAUUAGGAUCUGGAAGUACCUUGAAGAUCCCUUUGUCAACCUCAGAGAGAGCCUUAAAAUUGGUCGCUCUGAUGGUCUUAGCCAAAGCAAGAGUGACUAUCAUAAUGAUGCUCUGACCCUUUGCAUCCUUGCUUCAACCCAGAACUCUCUAGUUCUCAGUUUUUGAGUCCCAGAUUAUAAGUUCUGAGACAAGUCAAAAGUUUGUUCAAACCCUGUGUAGUAUGCCACUUUCCACAGUUUAUCCACAGUGCGGUAUGCCACUUUCAUGGGUUUGGGAAGGUCCUUCACAAGAAUA